ACGAUUUUGAAGCCCUACAUACCCAUGGAUGAAAUCAAAGAAUGGCGUCUUUCGCAACCAUUCUUAAGCCGCGCCAGUGAGUUUUGCAGCCACAACGAACUGGUUUUGGCGACAUGUGUUUAGUUGGUGAAAAAGUGAGGAUGCUACAAAGAAGACUUUAGUAGUUUAGAAUUAUUUGACCACACUUUUAGGAUCGAUCACAAAUGCUUUUACUAGGAGUUGUUUGUUGUGACAGGAAAACAAAAUUGAAAGUUGGGGAAGGAGGCUUGAAAUUUGCAGAAAAAGAGCAUCAAGCAGUUUUUUGUUGCAAUAGAAAGAGAGGAAUGGAAGUUCGACACUCUUUGUGUACCCUUACAAUAGAGCAGGCUGUGAUCUUCUGCAAUACGAAAUGAAAGAUAAUUUCUUUUGUUAGAUCUGCAUUCCUAUGUUGAAUCUGUUAACUAAACGAUUGAUUGGCCCUCUUGAAAAAUACAUGAGAAUAGCUUCACCAUUUUAUCCAUGCAUGGGAUAUGCCUCAAAAGGAAUUAGAUGCAUUAUGAAUGAAUUUCGGUCUGGACAAACCUAAGUUCUUAUCACAACAGAUGUUUGGGCUAGAGGAUUGGAUGUUCAACAGGUUUCUCUACUGAUUAAUUAUGAUAUGCUCAACAAUCGAGAGCUUUAUAUUCUUCUCACAGGAUGAUCUGACCGGUUUAGUAGAAAGGUGACACAUUUUUCCUUGUCAAGGUCUUCGUUACAUUCGCCUCAGUCCCAGACACACCAUUUAUUUUUCCAACAAUUGUUGGGGCGACUUCCAUUCGCGACGUUUUCGGUGAAGAUCCUAUUGAGUGGAACUACAAGGAUGUUCGGAUAUACUUUCAUACCUUUCGUUUAUUGAACUCCAAAACUUAAAAGAAAUAUUAUUUAAACUAAACCUCCUUCUGUUGGUAAUUGCAGCUCAUGCGCCACCCCUGAAGCAUAUCAACCGAUUCCUUAAUGUUUUGCCCCCGUUUGCCUUAUGGAUUGGAUGCCAUAGAUGUGUUUGGAUGGUAGGUUGUUACGGCUAUGUGAAAUACCUAUGGAAUAGAUGCAUAGACAUUUGGAGUUAUCUUUUGUGUGGUGAGAAUUGUUGCUAUGGAUUGAUGGAUGUCCCCACUAGCUUAUUACUAGGUUGGAUGUUUAAAAUGCUUGUGUUUUGCAGUACAUAAUGUCGAAGCGAAGAUGUUGCUAGGCUUUUUUGAUGGGUUACUUUAUUUUGUUGUUUGGUGGUGGACAUCGACUAGUAAAUAUUGUUAUAUUAAUA